GAGGAUAUAGCUCAAGUGGUAGAUCGCGUGCUUAGCAUGCACAAGGUCCUGGGUUCAAUCCCCAGUACCGCCU
rnacentral:tRNA from 1 species